CCGUGGGGUGCUGAGAUAUUUGGUUAAACAAUAUUCAGGAUGUGUCUCUGAGAGUGUUUCUGGAUGAAAUUAGCUUUGGAACAGAUAGAAAAGAACCAAAAGGCUGAGAAGGGAGAACUUGCUUUCUCUACCUGAAUGUCUUUGUGCUGGGACUUCGGUCUUCCUCUGUCUUUGGGCUCAAAUUCAGGUGAGAGUUUGCACCAUAGUCUCUUCCGGUUCUGAGGCCCCUGGACUUGGACUGGAGCUGCACCGUCAGCUCUCCUGGGUCUCUGGCUUGCCAACUGCAGGUCUUGGACAUCUUGGCCUCCGUGAUCAGAUUGCUGACUCAGGGGGCUGCCUGUUUCCAGAGGCCGGGAGAGGUUGGCAGGCCUUGUGGAGCACUGCCAACUCCACAUGGGAGGCAGAUGGGAACAGCAUCAGGACGGCUGUACUCCAUGGCCGAGUAGCAGAGCCCCACCUUGGAAGUAACACUGGGUGCACUACUGACUGGAGCAAAUGUAAUGUGCUG